rnacentral:rRNA from 1 species
GGAAUAUUGCACAAUGGGGGAAACCCUGAUGCAGCGACGCCGCGUGAGUGAAGAAGUAUUUCGGUAUGUAAAGCUCUAUCAGCAGGGAAGAAGAUGACGGUACCUGCACAAGAAGCCCCGGCUAACUACGUGCCAGCAGCCGCGGUAAUACGUAGGGGGCAAGCGUUAUCCGGAUUUACUGGGUGUAAAGGGAGCGCAGACGGAAGAUCAAGUCAGGUGUGAAAGGCAUGGGCUCAACCUGUGGACUGCACUUGAAACUGGUCAUCUCGAGUGUCGGAAGGGCAGGCGGAAUUCCUGGUGUAGCGGUGAAAUGCGUAGAUAUCAGGAAGAACACCGGUGGCGAAGGCGGCCUGCUGGACGAUAACUGACGUUGAGGCUCGAAGGCGUGGGGAGCAAACA